rnacentral:lncRNA from 1 species
GAUAGAAUGGUUUAGGGGAAUGGAAUGUAAGACCCGAUCCCGGCCGACUAGGUCGCGGUCGAUGCCUCACGUCGCUCAGUCCAUACCUGGACCGAACCUCUAAAAAUUUUGCCCUUUAUUUAAAAUAUCGCCCAUUGGCGAGGGCUAACUCAGAUCCUAGCUCAAGACUACCUUAAUCAUUCCCUAGCUAGAACCUUUCAACUUAUGCACAGCGGAAUAGUAUCUACUUAACCAUUGGUCUAAAACCAAUCUAACACUUGCCUGGUCAGAUCACCUCAGCUACUGGUCAGUAAACACAACUGCCAGCUAGCUCCAAGGUCGAUCCUGAACCUAGACCAAGUCAUACAAUCAGAAGUUCUGUUCCCCU